rnacentral:rRNA from 1 species
AACCAGCACCUCAAGUGGUCAGGAUGAUUAUUGGGCCUAAAGCAUCCGUAGCCUGUUCUGUAAGUUUUCGGUUAAAUCCAUGAGCUCAACUUAUGGGCUGCCGAAAAUACUGCAGAACUAGGGAGUGGGAGAGGUAGACGGUACUCGGUAGGAAGGGGUAAAAUCCUUUGAUCUAUUGAUGACCACCUGUGGCGAAGGCGGUCUACCAGAACACGUUCGACGGUGAGGGAUGAAAGCUGGGGGAGCAAACCGG